rnacentral:lncRNA from 1 species
AGGAGUCUAGCAGACAACCUGAGCUGCAAGAUGUCUCCCAUCCCUCUGAUAUUUAUCUUUGGUGGUGUGCUCAUCAUCUGCCUGAUGCAACAAUACCUGGCGUAUAAGUCUUCUAAGAACGUCGUUAAAGUCUUCUGCCAUCAAGCCAAUGAUGCUUAUCCUUCGGCGAAAAGCUUCUACAUUUUGCUUCAAAAGUAGAAGAUGGAGCUGGAGAGAUGGCUUAAUAGUUAAGAGCACAGGCUGCUCUUCCAGAGGACCCAGGUUUGAUUUCCAGCAUCUGCAUGGCAACUCACGACAGCCUAUAUGUAACUCAGUCUCAGGAAGAUCAAUGCCUUCUUUUGGCCUCCAAGAACACUGUAUGCCCAUGGUGCACAGACAUACAGUUGGGCAAAUGCUUGUACACAUAAAAUAGAAAUAAAUAAAAUUUUCAUAAAUAAA